UUAACCAUAAUCCUUUUCAUCUCUUAGAAACUGUAGGCUUACCGAUUCCCUUUCACCUUCUCCGGCGAUGUAACGAUGUAGUUAUGACCUUCAAUCACGUUAUCCCACUAAACUCACAACCACCCCUCUUCAUUGCUUCUUUAAUUACACAUUUUAAAGCUUAAUUAUGUGUAUAUCUACACCAUCUGAGAGCCCCCUGCAGUUCCCUUACUUUCAUAAAACCUAAAAAUAUAUCGCUCAUGUUCUCUUUUAAUGGACGAUAGUUGGCAAUUUCUCAGAUUUGAGUCAAGCGGCUACACACAGUCAGUUCAGGCAAGAUUCCUAUGUGUUUUUCGGAAGCCAAUAAAGUAAUGAAAAGAGGUGAGCUGAUGGGUAUUGAUAUGCUUAUGAUGGUUCCUAUUUUUAUUUGCAGUAAAUCAAUGUUAUAUUCUUUUUUUCUUCUCAGGAUAGACAAAUCCAGGAAUCAAUUAAUGUGCAACUAUUCAACACCUUAAAAAAAAUUGAAGUAUCUAGCUUAAUGUUUUGUAUUUCAUAUGAAGGAGCAACCCUUACUUCCGGUUUGGAGAAAUCCAUGUUUCUAUUAGAUUUACGGAGCAAACCGUGUUUGUUGAGGUCGCUGAAACCGAUUCCAGUGGAGAGUUUUGGGUUUUGCAAUUACGAACACCUUAUGGUAUUGGCUAACACCAACACAGAUUUUUUUUCCAGCAUUGCAGGCCGCCUUUUCCUCAAUGCAACCUCCGGAACACAUUUCUACUUUUACCAAGAAAGUGUAACCAGCCAGAGCUUUCUGCAAGACUAAGUUUUGUGGAUCCGACAUUGGUAGCUCCUCCACUCCUUCCAAGUAUGGCGGUGUACAGAAAAUUGAGUUAGCAACAAUUGUGGAGUUUAUUGUCUGUCGUGAAUUCACCACCUCAGGCGGUACGGUAGAAUUCCACUGCACUGGCCAAGUCAAUGACAUUGAGAAAACUGAUGGACCAAUGCUUCAUCAUCAAAGCUUUGCUUACAAGGAGGUGGUGACUACCCUGGAAAUGAUAUUCUGGAUGCUGUGACUCUCACUAUUAACCCUCUCAUGUGAUGAGGAGCAGUGGUUCACAUAAUACCACAUGAAGUAACACCGCUCCAAUUUUUGAAGGAAGCAUGGCUGAGUCAGCAGUACUACCUGCUCAACCUGAUGCAUUUUUAGCACCGGAAAGGAUACCACAGAGCCUGAGAUCUCCAACCAUAGAGAUCCAUGACAAUAUUAAUAUAGGUGAAGAACCAAUUCCACACUGAACGUGCUAAGUUUGAGUCAAUAAUUUUUCUAUUAUAUAGAUUGUCGUCUUUUUAGUUUGCUUGGUUAUAUACUUAUAUCAUAUAUGAAUACGUUUAUCUCAUUACUGUAGGAAUCUUUUACGGGUCUAGCUAUUACAUAUUCCUAAAAUUGUUUAAUUUGUUUAAUUUCCAAUACUUGAUUCAUCAUCAUA